rnacentral:rRNA from 1 species
UAAGGAAUAUUCCACAAUGGACGAUAAGUCUGAUGGAGCGACGCCGCGUGAGCGAAGAAGCCCUUCGGGGUGUAAAGCUCUUUUAGCAGGGAUGAUAAUGACAGUACCUGCUGAAUAAGCCUCGGCUAACUACGUGCCAGCAGCCGCGGUAAUACGUAGGAGGCGAGCGUUGUCCGGAAUCACUGGGCGUAAAGCGCGUGUAGGCGGUAGAGUAAGUCUGUAGUGAAAGCGCCCGGCUCAACUGGGUGAGGUCUAUGGAAACUGCUCAACUGGAGGAAGGUAGAGGAGGGUGGAAUUCCCGGUGUAGUGGUGAAAUGCGUAGAUAUCGGGAGGAACACCAGCGGCGAAGGCGGCCCUCUGGGCCUAUCCUGACGCUGAGACGCGAAGGCCAGGGUAGCGAACGGGAUUAGAUACCCCGGUAGUCCUGGCAGUAAACGAUGAGCACUAGGUGUGGGGGGUAUCGAGCCCCUCCGUGCCAAAGUCAACACAUUAAGUGCUCCGCCUGGGGAGUAC